AGACAAGUCACAUGGAGAGUCCUAUUUAGUCUCCUACUUGAUUAUACUCAAGAAGAUUCUCCAUCUGAGCACAUAAAAGAAACCAGCCCUGCCAACACAUUAAUGCUAGAGGCUCAACCACCUGAACUGCAAGUGACCAGGGGAACAGUGGUACCUCAUACAUAACUCUAGCAGACCACGCAGAAGGGUGAGCAAGCUUCCUACACACUUUGUUUUAGCUUUCAUCACUAUCAGAAUUGGUUUUGUUCAUCCCAUUCAACCAGCAAGUGUGCAUCCAUCAUUCACCUGUAAAAACAGCCAUGAGAUAGUGGAACAGUUUAAAGCUUGUGAAAAAAGCAAGUCCCAUGAGAGUGAUGCUGCCUGCAGGUGGACAGACAUUUAUGGGUGUGGAUGGCAGCAAUGGAGGAUAAGCUGAG
rnacentral:lncRNA from 1 species